rnacentral:rRNA from 1 species
UGGGGAAUAUUGCACAAUGGGCGCAAGCCUGAUGCAGCCAUGCCGCGUGUAUGAAGAAGGCCUUCGGGUUGUAAAGUACUUUCAGCGGGGAGGAAGGGAGUAAAGUUAAUACCUUUGCUCAUUGACGUUACCCGCAGAAGAAGCACCGGCUAACUCCGUGCCAGCAGCCGCGGUAAUACGGAGGGUGCAAGCGUUAAUCGGAAUUACUGGGCGUAAAGCGCACGCAGGCGGUUUGUUAAGUCAGAUGUGAAAUCCCCGGGCUCAACCUGGGAACUGCAUCUGAUACUGGCAAGCUUGAGUCUCGUAGAGGGGGGUAGAAUUCCAGGUGUAGCGGUGAAAUGCGUAGAGAUCUGGAGGAAUACCGGUGGCGAAGGCGGCCCCCUGGACGAAGACUGACGCUCAGGUGCGAAAGCGUGGGGAGCAAAC